AGUUGGAUAAAUUACAGUUUGAAAUCGUGGCGCUUGGCGUAAAAUCCAGAGAAAAAAUAUAUGAAAAACUCGAUUCUCUGGGAGAGGGUUAGUUUGCCACUGUGUACAAGACAAUACCAACGACACGAUAGUUGCCAUCAAGAAGGUGGUGAUUAAAGAUACCAUUCUGGUGCUGACUCCAGCCAACAUCAAAGGCUUCAUAGUGAUUACUACUGUGCCUGGAGUACAUGCACCACACACUGUCAUACAAUACACACCUUCUCAUAUGUGCUUGUAUCAGGGCUGCCGAGAGUUAUAGUCAGUCUACACUCACCAGGUAGUCACCUGUGGCAUCGUUCUCCAGAGUUGUUGUUCGGUGCCAGGAUGUAUGGGGUGGGCGUCGACAUGUGGGCCGUGGGCUACGCAGAUGAGCUUGCGGAGCUUCUGCAGGUACACACACACCAUAAGCUCAGUCCAAUUUAAACAUUGAGGCGAGACAAAACAAGUUUGCCUGUAGAAUGGCACUGAAACUAGGCAGCUCAAUUGAACUUUGUUCUGAAAUGGUCUUGUCUCUGAUUUUAAAAUAAAUCUAGACUGAGCAUCAAGGUUCAGACUACUGUAUUGUCAGACACACACAUUUCUGUAUACAUAAUUCUGCAUCCCAAAUGGCAAGCUAUUCCCUGUAUAGUGUACUACUUUUGACCAGGGCACAAGGACUCUGUUCAAAAGUUGUACAAAUGUAGGGAAUGUGGUUGCCAUUUGAGACUCAUGUUCCCUGCUACUCUGUGGUAUAACACCCUCUGUCUCUCUCUUGUUACCGUUCCUAGCAGGAAACUCCUGGCCUGUGAGUGUCUGUCUUUUCUGUGUCUGCAUGUGUGGUUAAUUUAAGGCUAAGCAACGCCUUGAAAAUAUCUGGGUCCUCAAUAAUACAUUGUGGAUUUAAACAAUGCCUUCAUGUCUCUAACUCUGAUACACAGUCCAGCACACAAACGGGGUCCAUGGGUCCUGUGUGGGAGGGUGAUCUGGCAUACAGACAUACAGCAGCCUGUCCCCCCUGCUGUUCAGUUCUGUGUCAGAACUACCUCUGGCUAUAUGAACCCCUGAGCCCCCCUCGGCCUCCCUUCUCUUUGGCUUUUCUCUGGAAGAGUUCUAAAUGGCACCCUAUUCCUUAUUUAGUGCACUAAUUUUGACCAGCGCUUAAAGCAGUGCACUAAAGGAGGCAUUUGGGAUGAAGUCUAGUCUGUUUAUUCAGUGCUGUUUCUCCCAGCUCUACCCCCCCCCCUCCCGUCUCCUCUCAACAGCCUCUGAGGGUGAGGUACUUUACGAACAGCCCUAGCUGCCCCAGCACAACUCCUCAUCUGAGCCUCUCAAAGAGAAUCAAGAGGAAACGAGAUGGUCUGGAGAAAAAGAAUGAACAACACAGACACACACGCACAUCUCAGCAUUGGAAUCAAUAGCACAGACAUUAUUAUUCCAUCAUACACCAGAGAUAGAAGGUUAAAUACCUCUUUGACAUGUUUGUGUUUGACCAUGAUAUUAAUACCUCUUUUGACAUGUUUGUGUUUGACCAUGAUAUUAAUACCUCUUUGACAUGUUUGUGUUUGACCAUGAUAUUAAUACCUCUUUGACAUGUUUGUGUUUGACCAUGAUAUUAAUACCUCUUUGACAUGUUUGUGUUUGACCAUGAUAUUAAUACCUCUUUGACAUGUUUGUGUUUGACCAUGAUAUUAAUACCUCUUUGACAUGUUUGUGUUUGACCAUGAUAUUAAUAACAACAUGGUAAAUAUUAUUCUGCUUGCUUAUUUAAACUGAUGGUUUGGUUUGUACAAAGGAUUCAAUGACUGGUUUCCAAUUUUGGAUUGGGCCAGCAAGGGCCUCCCGUACCUAGAAUGCAUACAUAUUUUUGUACUGUGACCAUGUUAUCAGAAGUAACCUCGUCAAUUAAACAUAAAUAUUCUCA